GCGUCUUCCAGAAGGUUAAUCUAUGACUUAACUGGCCAGGCUACAGCAAAAUGUCAACCAAAGCUUUAUCAGUGAGGAUCUUUGGAUGAUUGACACAGCCAACGCACAAAAAGAAGAAAACACUUUUAAAGAUGUGUGUUUCAGCACUAUAACUAGAAAAAAGAAAAAGAAAAAAAUCCCAAAGAAGGCACAACCACAGUGGGUGCUAUGCCUGUCCUUGGGCCAUUCAAUUACUGACUGCACUUUCUUCCCACUAACACGAAGUUGAAAGUGGAGGACCACCCCACAUGAAA